GACGAACGCUGGCGGCGUGCUUAACACAUGCAAGUCGAGCGAUGAAGUUUCCUUCGGGAAACGGUCUAGUGGCGCACGGGUGCGUAACGCGUGGGAAUCUGCCCUUGGGUUCGGAAUAACUCGCCGAAAGACGUGCUAAUACCGGAUGAUGUCGUAAGACCAAAGAUUUAUCGCCCAGGGAUGAGCCCGCGCAAGAUUAGGUAGUUGGUGAGGUAAAGGCUCACCAAGCCGACGAUCUUUAGCUGGUCUGGGAGGAUGAUCAGCCACACUGGGACUGAGACACGGCCCAG
rnacentral:rRNA from 1 species